rnacentral:rRNA from 1 species
GAUGAACGCUGGCGGCGUGCUUAACACAUGCAAGUCGAACGGUGAAAGAGAGCUUGCUCUCUGGAUCAGUGGCGAACGGGUGAGUAACACGUGAGCAAUCUGCCCUUGACUCUGGGAUAAGCGCUGGAAACGGCGUCUAAUACCGGAUACGAGCUGCGAAGGCAUCUUCAGCAGCUGGAAAGAACUUCGGUCAAGGAUGAGCUCGCGGCCUAUCAGCUAGUUGGUGAGGUAACGGCUCACCAAGGCGUCGACGGGUAGCCGGCCUGCGAGGGGGACCGGCCACACUGGGACUGAGACACGGCCCAGACUCCUACGGGAGGCAGCAGUGGGGAAUAUUGCACCAUGGGCGCAAGCCUGAUGCAGCAACGCCGCGUGAGGGACGACGGCCUUCGGGUUGUAAACCUCUUUUAGCAGGGAAGAAGCGAAAGUGACGGUACCUGCAGAAAAAGCACCGGCUAACUACGUGCCAGCCGCCGCCGUAACAC